AGUGAACGCUGGCGGUAGGCCUAACACAUGCAAGUCGAACGGCAGCACAGGAGAGCUUGCUCUCUGGGUGGCGAGUGGCGGACGGGUGAGGAAUACAUCGGAAUCUACUCUGUCGUGGGGGAUAACGUAGGGAAACUUACGCUAAUACCGCAUACGACCUACGGGUGAAAGCAGGGGAUCUUCGGACCUUGCGCGAUUGAAUGAGCCGAUGUCGGAUUAGCUAGUUGGCGGGGUAAAGGCCCACCAAGGCGACGAUCCGUAGCUGGUCUGAGAGGAAGAUCAGCCACACUGGAACUGACACACGGUCCAGACUCCAACGGGAGGAAGCAGUGGGGAAUAUUGGACAAUGGGCGCAAGCCUGAUCCAGCCAUACCGCGUGGGUGAAGAAGGCCUUCGGGUUGUAAAGCCCUUUUGUUGGGAAAGAAAUCCAGCUGGCUAAUACCCGGUUGGGAUGACGGUACCCAAAGAAUAAGCACCGGCUAACUUCGUGCCAGCAGCCGCCGUAA
rnacentral:rRNA from 1 species